rnacentral:rRNA from 1 species
AUUGAACGCUGGCGGCAGGCCUAACACAUGCAAGUCGAGCGGUAGCACAGAGAGCUUGCUCUCGGGUGACGAGCGGCGGACGGGUGAGUAAUGUCUGGGAAACUGCCUGAUGGAGGGGGAUAACUACUGGAAACGGUAGCUAAUACCGCAUAACGUCGCAAGACCAAAGUGGGGGACCUUCGGGCCUCAUGCCAUCAGAUGUGCCCAGAUGGGAUUAGCUAGUAGGUGGGGUAACGGCUCACCUAGGCGACGAUCCCUAGCUGGUCUGAGAGGAUGACCAGCCACACUGGAACUGAGACACGGUCCAGACUCCUACGGGAGGCAGCAGUGGGGAAUAUUGCACAAUGGGCGCAAGCCUGAUGCAGCCAUGCCGCGUGUGUGAAGAAGGCCUUCGGGUUGUAAAGCACUUUCAGCGGGGAGGAAGGCGGUGAGGUUAAUAACCUCAUCGAUUGACGUUACCCGCAGAAGAAGCACCGGCUAACUCCGUGCCAGCAGCCGCGGUAAUACGGAGGGUGCAAGCGUUAAUCGGAAUUACUGGGCGUAAAGCGCACGCAGGCGGUCUGUCAAGUCGGAUGUGAAAUCCCCGGGCUCAACCUGGGAACUGCAUUCGAAACUGGCAGGCUAGAGUCUUGUAGAGGGGGGUAGAAUUCCAGGUGUAGCGGUGAAAUGCGUAGAGAUCUGGAGGAAUACCGGUGGCGAAGGCGGCCCCCUGGACAAAGACUGACGCUCAGGUGCGAAAGCGUGGGGAGCAAACAGGAUUAGAUACCCUGGUAGUCCACGCUGUAAACGAUGUCGAUUUGGAGGUUGUGCCCUUGAGGCGUGGCUUCCGGAGCUAACGCGUUAAAUCGACCGCCUGGGGAGUACGGCCGCAAGGUUAAAACUCAAAUGAAUUGACGGGGGCCCGCACAAGCGGUGGAGCAUGUGGUUUAAUUCGAUGCAACGCGAAGAACCUUACCUGGUCUUGACAUCCACAGAACUUAGCAGAGAUGCUUUGGUGCCUUCGGGAACUGUGAGACAGGUGCUGCAUGGCUGUCGUCAGCUCGUGUUGUGAAAUGUUGGGUUAAGUCCCGCAACGAGCGCAACCCUUAUCCUUUGUUGCCAGCGGUUAGGCCGGGAACUCAAAGGAGACUGCCAGUGAUAAACUGGAGGAAGGUGGGGAUGACGUCAAGUCAUCAUGGCCCUUACGACCAGGGCUACACACGUGCUACAAUGGCAUAUACAAAGAGAAGCGACCUCGCGAGAGCAAGCGGACCUCAUAAAGUAUGUCGUAGUCCGGAUUGGAGUCUGCAACUCGACUCCAUGAAGUCGGAAUCGCUAGUAAUCGUAGAUCAGAAUGCUACGGUGAAUACGUUCCCGGGCCUUGUACACACCGCCCGUCACACCAUGGGAGUGGGUUGCAAAAGAAGUAGGUAGCUUAACCUUCGGGAGGGCGCUUACCACUUUGUGAUUCAUGACUGGGGUG